AGCUCCCACUUCAUCUCCUUUACUCCUUGUGUUGCUGAUGUCACCUCACAGCUGUAGUUCCCUUCAUCAGAUGGCUGCACAUCAGUAAUAUGAAGAUUCAGUGGAUUUUCUUUACUCCACUUAAUUUUUUCUGUGGUUAUAUUAAUAAAAGUCUCAUGGGCUGUAUAAGCUAAAAGAAGUUCUGUUGCACAGGAAUUGCUUUUCUUCCAGUUCACCUGUACAGUGUUGUCAAGUGAAGCAUUACAAUUGAAAGUAACAGUCUCUCUCAAAGCGACUUCCACAUGUACUCCUGCUACUGCCGCUCCGUGGUGAUCUGUAGACA